rnacentral:rRNA from 1 species
CAGUCGCCGCGGUAAUACGUAGGGUGCGAGCGUUAAUCGGAAUUACUGGGCGUAAAGCGUGCGCAGGCAGUUGUGUAAGACAGGUGUGAAAUCCCCGGGCUUAACCUGGGGAUGGCAGUGGAUACUGGCUCGCUAGAGUGUGUCAGAGGAUGGUGGAAUUCCCGGUGUAGCGGUGAAAUGCGUAGAGAUCGGGAGGAACAUCAGUGGCGAAGGCGGCCAUCUGGGACAACACUGACGCUGAGGCACGAAAGCGUGGGGAGCAAACAGGAUUAGAUACCCCCGUAGUCCCUGUCUCUUAUAC